rnacentral:rRNA from 1 species
GUGAGUCUUCUUGGCUGGAAUUGUCGGGGUAUCGGCAACACCCCGAUAAUUCAAGAGACACACAAACUCGUGUUAAAGUUUGCCCCUAAAGUUAUUUGUAUAGUAGAAACUCAAAUCAGUAGAGAGAGAGCUGAAAAUUUAGCAAAUACUUUAGGUUAUGAUUGCGCUUAUGGUGUUGAUCCCACUAGUAGAAGUGGCGGCCUUGCUAUGUUUUGGAACAAUGAUAUAAAGGUUAAAGUUUUAGGUUAUUCAAAGUACGAAUUGAUGCAAAGAUUACUGAACUAG